AGCAACCUGGGAUGUACGAUAAUUCCUGUUAUUUUGAACCUACAAAACUUUAAACGGGACUCUUAUAUCUCCGUAAUAUGUCAGGCCUCCGAUUUGCGCAGGGGAAGACAGAAAAGCGGAUGCGGACACCCACCUAGCUAUGGCUAGGAGUCAAAAUACAGGAACCGGCAUUUUGGGGAUGUAC
rnacentral:other from 1 species